rnacentral:piRNA from 1 species
UGCCAGCAUUUUCAUUUCAGAAGAAACAA